ACUGUUCAGAUUAGCCAUGCAUGUCUCAGUAUAAGCUUCUAUACGGCGAAACUGCGAAUGGCUCAUUAAAACAGUUAUAGUUUAUUUGGUGGUCAGCAAUUACAUGGAUAACCGUGGUAAUUCUAGAGCUAAUACAUGCGCCCAAACCCGACUUCGUGGAAGGGUUGUGUUUAUUAGAUACAGAACCAACCCAGGCUCCGCCUGGCCUUGAGGUGAUUCAUAAUAACCGAACGAAUCGCAUGGCUAUGCCGGCGAUAGACCAUUCAAGUUUCUGACCUAUCAGCUAUCGUCGGUAGGGUAUUGGCCUACCGUGGCAAUGACGGGUAACGGAGAAUUAGGGUUCGAUUCCGGAGAGGGAGCCUGAGAAACGGCUACCACAUCUAAGGAAGGCAGCAGGCGCGCAAAUUACCCAAUCCUGACGCAGGGAGGUAGUGACAAGAAAUAACAAUACAGGGCAUACAUGUCUUGUAAUUGGAAUGAGUAAACUUUAAAUCACUUUA
rnacentral:rRNA from 1 species